AACAUGUUGUCUGUGGUACCCUACUCUGGAAAGUGACAAUCACGUAUAAUUAAAUUUGAUUGACACUUCUGUGAGUAGAGUAACGCAUGACACGUACG
ensembl:miRNA